GUACACGCUGUGACUAGCAUAUCAAUAAGCGGAGGAAAAGAAACUAACAAGGAUUCCCCUAGUAACGGCGAGUGAAGCGGGAAGAGCUCAAAUUUGAAAUCUUAAAGGGUUUCCCUUUACGAAUUGUAGUUUAAAGAAGUGUUUUCUGUUGAGGUUUUGGUAAAAGUUCUUUGGAAUAGGACAUCAUAGAGGGUGAGAAUCCCGUAUUUGACCUUUACUUUCAACUUUGUGAUACACUUUCAAAGAGUCGGAUUGUUUGAGAAUGCAGUCCAAAAUGGGUGGUAAAUUUCAUCUAAAGCUAAAUAUUGGCGAGAGACCGAUAGCGAACAAGUACCGUGAGGGAAAGAUGAAAAGAACUUUGAAAAGAGAGUUAAACAGUACGUGAAAUUGUCAAAAGGGAAGCGUCUGACACCAGUGUUGUUUUUCUGAAAAUCAAUUAAAGAACUGUUUAUGCUAAGUUGUUUAGACUUUAUCAGCUAACUGUUUAGUUUUGAGCUUUUCUUUAAUGCACUUUUCAGUUAACAAGUCAACAUCAAUUUCUUUUGCUGUAAAAAAGCUUGAGGGAAGGUGGCUUGAGAUUCGUCUUAAGUGUUUAUAGCCUCUUGCCUAUGCAGUCGGAGAGAUUGAGGUCUGCAGCGUAGAUCCUUCGGGGCUAAAUGCAUUUGUGCUAAGUUAUAGCAUUUUAUAGACAACUUGUUGACUAUGAUUUGUCUUGUAGCUUACUCGCUUAUGUUAUUUUACCUACGCUUAGGAUGUUGAAGAUGUAGCACAUCAUC
rnacentral:rRNA from 1 species